UGAGCGCUGAAGGUUGGUACUUGUACCGACUGGAUGAGCAGCGAACGGGUGAGUAACGCGUGGGGAAUCUGCCUUUGAGCGGGGGACAACAUUUGGAAACGAAUGCUAAUACCGCAUAAAAACUUUAAACACAAGUUUUAAGUUUGAAAGAUGCAAUUGCAUCACUCAAAGAUGAUCCCGCGUUGUAUUAGCUAGUUGGUGAGGUAAAGGCUCACCAAGGCGAUGAUACAUAGCCGACCUGAGAGGGUGAUCGGCCACAUUGGGACUGAGACACGGCCCAAACUCCUACGGGAGGCAGCAGUAGGGAAUCUUCGGCAAUGGACGAAAGUCUGACCGAGCAACGCCGCGUGAGUGAAGAAGGUUUUCGGAUCGUAAAACUCUGUUGGUAGAGAAGAACGUUGGUGAGAGUGGAAAGCUCAUCAAGUGACGGUAACUACCCAGAAAGGGACGGCUAACUACGUGCCAGCAGCCGCGGUAAUACGUAGGUCCCGAGCGUUGUCCGGAUUUAUUGGGCGUAAAGCGAGCGCAGGUGGUUUAUUAAGUCUGGUGUAAAAGGCAGUGGCUCAACCAUUGUAUGCAUUGGAAACUGGUAGACUUGAGUGCAGGAGAGGAGAGUGGAAUUCCAUGUGUAGCGGUGAAAUGCGUAGAUAUAUGGAGGAACACCGGUGGCGAAAGCGGCUCUCUGGCCUGUUACUGACACUGAGGCUCGAAGCGUGGGGAGCAA
rnacentral:rRNA from 1 species